rnacentral:rRNA from 1 species
AUUGAACGCUGGCGGCAGGCCUAACACAUGCAAGUCGAGCGGAUGAGAGAAGCUUGCUUCUCGAUUCAGCGGCGGACGGGUGAGUAAUGCCUAGGAAUCUGCCUGGUAGUGGGGGACAACGUUUCGAAAGGAACGCUAAUACCGCAUACGUCCUACGGGAGAAAGCAGGGGACCUUCGGGCCUUGCGCUAUCAGAUGAGCCUAGGUCGGAUUAGCUAGUUGGUGAGGUAAUGGCUCACCAAGGCGACGAUCCGUAACUGGUCUGAGAGGAUGAUCCGUCACACUGGACCUGAGACACGGUCCAGACGCCUACGGGAGGAAGCAGUGGGGAAUAUUGGACAAUGGGCGAAAGCAUGAUCCAGCCAUGCCGCGUUUGUGAAGAAGGUCUUCGGAUUGUAAAGCACUUUAAGUUGGGAGGAAGGGUUGUAGAUUAAUACUCUGCAAUUUUGACGUUACCGACAGAAUAAGCACCGGCUAACUCUGUGCCAGCCGCCGCGGUAAGAC